rnacentral:lncRNA from 1 species
AUCUCAGCUUCCUGAGUAGCUGUUGUGUGCUGUUGGCAAUGCCAUAGUGCUAAGCCCAAGGUUGGCCUUGAUAAAACAUAGACUACAGUUCAAGGUGUCCAGAAGAAAUCUGCCUGUGCAUCAAUGUGGGUUCCAUCAGAAUUACCUGGUGAGUCACUCCAGCCCAAAGGAGAGAAAAGGACACAUGUAAGGUCACAGCAAAGUCAAGAUCAUGAGAACACAGAAGGGCACAAAGCUGAGGAGGGAGAGGACACAGGUAUCGAAAACACUGCCAUGGUGCGAGCCCAGGGGGGUGUGCAGGCCAUGACGCACAGUGCGGCCAUCUAUGUGUCAGAGACCAGGAGUGAGUGGGUCGGAGGACCAGAGCAAACAGUCACCCAGCAAUCUUUUUAGAGUCGAUGUAUGAGCAACAUUUAUGGAAACGAAACAUCCCUGUAGGCUGCCAUCAGUUGUACAAGCAAGGAGUGAGAACGUCUCUGCUGAGUCUUGGGGGACCUCCACACAAAUGGAAAAACAUUACGACUUUAUUCUUAUAUAAAAUUUGACAUUUUGGAUUGUUAUGGAUUAUUAUUUUGAACCAAUUUUGAUUUGAAAUCAUAGACUUAAGAUUUUUAUUUCAAAUGCCGUGGUUUGGGUACCCCUAACAUAACCGCACCAAAGCUCUCAUCACACACCCAUCCAUACCUAGAAUGGAGAGUGAGGUUGGCGCUAUCCUGAAGAUUCCAACCACACACAGAGGAAAUAGAACUUGCUGCUGACUGCGUGGGCCAAGAGCGAGUAAAUAAAUGUUUGGUUUGGAAAAUCUCUUCUA